rfam:Ciona savignyi cont_29097, whole genome shotgun sequence.
GUCAGGAUGGCCGAGUGGUCUAAGGCGCCAGACCCAAGAACCGAGGUUCUUCGCCGACAUGAGGUGUUGAGUAUUCUGGUCUCCGAAUGGAGGCGUGGGUUCGAAUCCCACUUCUGACA